AACGAACGCUGGCGGCAUGCCUAACACAUGCAAGUCGAACGAGUGGCGGAUGGGUGAGGAAUGUCCGGGAACCUGCUUGAUGGUGAGGGAUAACAACUGGAAACGGUACCUAAUACUGCAUACCAUCAGAUCUGGUCCUAUGGGAUUAUUUUGUUGGUGGGGUAUUGGCUCACCAAGGCUACGUUCCCUAGCUGGUCUGAGAGGAUGACCAGCCACACGGGAACUGAGACACGGUCCAGACUCCUACGGGAGGCAGCAGUAGGGAAUAUUGCACAAUGGGCGCAAGCCUGAUGCAGCCAUGCCGCGUGUAUGAAGAAGGCCUUCGGGUUGUAAAGUACUGUCAGCAGGGAGGCGUUACCCGAAGAGAAAGCACCGGCUAACUCCGUGCCAGCAGCCGCGGUAAUAC
rnacentral:rRNA from 1 species